GACGAACCGAGCGACCGUUGUUCGGAAUCACUGGGCUUAAAGGGCGCGUAGGCGGGUGCUCAAGUCUGUGGUGAAAUCCUCCGGCUCAACCGGAGAACUGCCAUGGAUACUGGGUGCCUCGAGGGUGGUAGGGGUAUGCGGAACUAUCGGUGGAGCGGUGAAAUGCGUUGAUAUCGAUAGGAACUCCGGUGGCGAAGGCGGCAUACUGGACCACAUCUGACGCUGAGGCGCGAAAGCCAGGGGAGCAAACGGG
rnacentral:rRNA from 1 species